rnacentral:rRNA from 1 species
AGAGUUUGAUCCUGGCUCAGAACGAACGCUGGCGGCAUGCCUAACACAUGCAAGUCGAACGAACCCUUCGGGGUUAGUGGCGCACGGGUGCGUAACGCGUGGGAACCUGCCUUUAGGUUCGGAAUAACAGUUAGAAAUGACUGCUAAUACCGGAUAAUGUCUUCGGACCAAAGAUUUAUCGCCUUUAGAUGGGCCCGCGUUAGAUUAGAUAGUUGGUGGGGUAAUGGCCUACCAAGUCGACGAUCUAUAGCUGGUCUGAGAGGAUGAUCAGCCACACUGGGACUGAGACACGGCCCAGACUCCUACGGGAGGCAGCAGUGGGGAAUAUUGGACAAUGGGCGAAAGCCUGAUCCAGCAAUGCCGCGUGAGUGAUGAAGGCCUUAGGGUUGUAAAGCUCUUUUACCAGGGAUGAUAAUGACAGUACCUGGAGAAUAAGCUCCGGCUAACUCCGUGCCAGCAGCCGCGGUAAUACGGAGGGAGCUAGCGUUGUUCGGAAUUACUGGGCGUAAAGCGCGCGUAGGCGGCUUUUAAGUCAGAGGUGAAUCCCAGGGCUCA